AAUCAACGCUGGCGGCGUGCCUCAGACAUGCAAGUCGAACGCGAAAGUCCCCUUCGGGGGAGUGAUUAGAGUGGCGCACGGGUGAGUAACACGUAGGUAAUCUACCUUCGAGUGGGGAAGUAACUCAGGGAAACGUUGAGCUAAUACCGCAUAAUGCAGCGGCACCACAUGGUGACAGUUGUUAAAGCAUUUAUGCGCUUGAAGAGGAGCCUGCGGCGGAUUAGCUAGUUGGUAAGGUAAUGGCUUACCAAGGCUACGAUCUGUAACCGGCCUGAGAGGGCGGACGGUCACACUGACACUGAAU
rnacentral:rRNA from 1 species